rnacentral:rRNA from 1 species
GGGUGAGUAACACGUGAGUAACCUGCCCUUGACUCUGGGAUAAGCCUGGGAAACUGGGUCUAAUACCGGAUAUGACCUUCCAUCGCAUGGUGGUUGGUGGAAAGCUUUUGUGGUUUUGGAUGGACUCGCGGCCUAUCAGCUUGUUGGUGGGGUAAUGGCCUACCAAGGCGACGACGGGUAGCCGGCCUGAGAGGGUGACCGGCCACACUGGGACUGAGACACGGCCCAGACUCCUACGGGAGGCAGCAGUGGGGAAUAUUGCACAAUGGGCGCAAGCCUGAUGCAGCGACGCCGCGUGAGGGAUGACGGCCUUCGGGUUGUAAACCUCUUUCAGUAGGGAAGAAGCGAAAGUGACGGUACCUGCAGAAGAAGCGCCGGCUAACUACGUGCCAGCAGCCGCGGUAAUACGUAGGGCGCAAGCGUUAUCCGGAAUUAUUGGGCGUAAAGAGCUCGUAGGCGGUUUGUCGCGUCUGCCGUGAAAGUCCGGGGCUCAACUCCGGAUCUGCGGUGGGUACGGGCAGACUAGAGUGAUGUAGGGGAGACUGGAAUUCCUGGUGUAGCGGUGAAAUGCGCAGAUAUCAGGAGGAACACCGAUGGCGAAGGCAGGUCUCUGGGCAUUAACUGACGCUGAGGAGCGAA